rnacentral:rRNA from 1 species
AUUGAACGCUGGCGGCAUGCCUUACACAUGCAAGUCGAACGGUAACGGGCCUUCGGGUGCCGACGAGUGGCGAACGGGUGAGUAAUGCAUCGGAACGUACCAUUCAGUGGGGGAUAACGUAGCGAAAGUUACGCUAAUACCGCAUAUUCUGUGAGCAGGAAAGCAGGGGAUCGCAAGACCUUGCGCUGAUUGAGCGGCCGAUGUCAGAUUAGCUAGUUGGUGAGGUAAAGGCUCACCAAGGCGACGAUCUGUAGCGGGUCUGAGAGGAUGAUCCGCCACACUGGAACUGAGACACGGUCCAGACUCCUACGGGAGGCAGCAGUAAGGAAUAUUGGUCAAUGGAGGGAACUCUGAACCAGCCAUGCCGCGUGAGUGAAGAAGGCCUCGGUUGUUAAGGUACGUACUUUCGGUCCGGGUAACGGAAACGUACGACACGGGUUAACGUAACCCGUUACGU